AUUGAACGCUGGCGGCAGGCCUAACACAUGCAAGUCGAACGAGUGGCGGACGGGUGAGUAAUGUCUGGGAAUCUGCCUGAUGGAGGGGGAUAACUACUGGAAACGGUAGCUAAUACCGCAUACCAUCAGAUGUGCCCAUAUGGGAUUAGCUUGUUGGUGGGGUAACGGCUCACCAAGGCGACGAUCCCUAGCUGGUCUGAGAGGAUGACCAGCCACACUGGAACUGAGACACGGCCCAGACUCCUACGGGAGGCAGCAGUGGGGAAUAUUGCACAAUGGGCGCAAGCCUGAUGCAGCCAUGCCGCGUGUAUGAAGAAGGCCUUCGGGUUGUAAAGUACUUUCAGCGGGGAGGCGUUACCCGCAGAAGAAGCACCGGCUAACUCCGUGCCAGCCGCCGCGGUAAUUC
rnacentral:rRNA from 1 species